rnacentral:rRNA from 1 species
GAUGAACGCUGGCGGCGUGCUUAAUACAUGCAAGUCGAACGGAGACUGUAGCAAUACUGUCUUAGUGGCGAACGGGUGAGUAACGCGUUGGUGACCUGCCCCGAAGAGGGGGAUAACAGUCCGAAAGGAUUGCUAAUACCCCAUGUGGUCGUUUGGAUUAGAUGCCUUACGACUAAACGGAUUUAUUCGCUUCGAGAGGAGCCUGCGUCCCAUCAGCUAGUUGGUAGGGUAACGGCCUACCAAGGCAAUGACGGGUAGGGGACCUGAGAGGGUGGCCCCCCACAAUGGAACUGAAACACGGUCCAUACACCUACGGGUGGCAGCAGUAGGGAAUAUUAGAAAUGGGCGGAAGCCUGAUCUAGCAACACCGCGUGUGCGAUGAAGGCCUUCGGGUCGUAAAGCACUUUUUGGAGGGAAUAGGAAGGAAGGUACCUCCAGAAUAAGUCUCGGCUAACUCCGUG